rnacentral:rRNA from 1 species
UACGAAGGGGGCAAGCGUUGCUCGGAAUGACUGGGCGUAAAGGGCGCGUAGGCGGCUUACAUAGUUAGGCGUGAAAUUCCUGGGCUCAACCUGGGGACUGCGUCUAAUACAUGUAGGCUUGAGUGUGAAAGAGGGUCGUGGAAUUUCCAGUGUAGAGGUGAAAUUCGUAGAUAUUGGAAAGAACACUGGUGGCGAAGGCGGCGACCUGGUUCAUUACUGACGCUGAGGAGCGAAAGCGUGGGGAGCAAACAGG